rnacentral:rRNA from 1 species
GACGAACGCUGGCGGCGUGCCUAAUACAUGCAAGUUGAGCGAUGAAGAUUGGUGCUUGCACCAAUUUGAAGAGCAGCGAACGGGUGAGUAACGCGUGGGGAAUCUGCCUUUGAGCGGGGGACAACAUUUGGAAACGAAUGCUAAUACCGCAUAAUAACUUUAAACAUAAGUUUUAAGUUUGAAAGAUGCAAUUGCAUCACUCAAAGAUGAUCCCGCGUUGUAUUGGCUAGUUGGUGAGGUAAAGGCUCACCAAGGCGAUGAUACAUAGCCGACCUGAGAGGGUGAUCGGCCACAUUGGGACUGAGACACGGCCCAAACUCCUACGGGAGGCAGCAGUAGGGAAUCUUCGGCAAUGGACGAAAGUCUGACCGAGCAACGCCGCGUGAGUGAAGAAGGUUUUCGGAUCGUAAAACUCUGUUGGUAGAGAAGAACGUUGGUGAGAGUGGAAAGCUCAUCAAGUGACGGUAACUACCCAGAAAGGGACGGCUAGCUACGUG